rnacentral:lncRNA from 8 species
AUGAGUUCGCUCCCAGCUGCGCCUUGGUCCACUUCUUCCUUCCUGCACGACGAUCGUUACAGAACAACACACCAAACCAGGACCAAGCAGCGGGAGGAAAAGGAGCGCGAGAGAUGGGCUCGCGAGGGAAAGGAGUUCUGGACCUGGGAGGAGAUCAUGUCGGGGAAAGGACCCUGGCGGAAGGAUUCCCAGGUCGAGGAGGUGAUGCCAGCCGGUGGAAGGAGUCGCAGGCGGCGGUCGAGGAGGCCCGGAAGACACCCCCAAGAUAAUUUUUUGGGGGGGCUAAUGGGGUGGUCCGGAAGGGCAGAGGAAGAGCCCAGACCACUGCUCUCGUGGGGGAUAACGGCGAAGGAGGAGGCAGAGAUGUGGCAGGUCCUGGAGGACCUGCGUAGGGACAGCGUGGAGGAAGAGCCUUGGGUGGCAGAGGUGCGCACGGUAUCGCCAGUGCGCCUGCACAGCCCAGUGCGCUCUGUGCCAGCGCCCCACAUUUGCCGGGCUAGGGGGAGUGUUCAGCGAGGACGUGUUGUGCCGGCUCAGCGCUCCUGGCCUCCGGUGCCCCUUCUCGGUCCGAUGUAUCCUGCGCCGAGGACGCGCACUGUGUCUCCGGUACGGCUACACAGCCCAGUGCGUUCUGUGCCAGCGCUCCACACUUGCCAGGCUAAGGUGGGUGUUGAGCCAGAACGGGUGAUGUCAGCUGUGCACUCCAGACCUCCAGUGCGCCUCCUCGGUCCAGGAUAUCCGGCGCCGCUUAUGCGCACUGUGUCGCCGGUGUGCGGCCCCAGUCCAGUCCGGCCCGUCCCUGCUCCCCGCACCAGGUUAGUGGUGCGUGUCCCCAGUCCUGUCCGGCCCGUCCCUGCUCCCCGCACCAGGUUAGUGGUGCGUGUCCCCAGUCCUGUCCGGCCCGUCCCUGUUCCCCGCACCAGGCCCACGGCGCGUGUCCACAGCCCGGCACGGCCUGUGUCCGGUCCACCGGUGACCAGUCCUGUUCCGGUCGGAGGCUCCGCUCCGGAGCCUGAGCAUGCCGCUCCACCGUGGUCCAGUCCGGGCCAGAGGGGUAGGGCUAGGGUGGAGGCAGGGGGAGAAACACGCCCGGGGCCAGAGCCUCCACCGAGGGUGAGGCGCCCACCCGGGUCCCCCCCCUAA